AUGGCUCAGAUUGAACGCUGGCGGCGUGCUUAACACAUGCAAGUCGCGCGUGAAAGGACUUCGGUCCGAGUAAAGCGGCGCACGGGUGAGUAACGCGUGGAUGAUCUACCCAUGAGUUAGGAAUAACGGCUGGAAACGGUCGCUAAUACCAAAUACGCUCCGAUUUCAACUUCGGGGGAAAGGUGGCCUCUGCUUGCAAGCUACUGCUCAUGGAUGAGUCCGCGUCCCAUUAGCUAGUUGGUGGGGUAACGGCCCACCAAGGCGACGAUGGGUAGCCGGUCUGAGAGGAUGACCGGCCACACUGGGACUGGAACACGGCCCAGACUCCUACGGGAGGCAGCAGUGGGGAAUAUUGCGCAAUGGGCGAAGGCCUGACGCAGCGACGCCGCGUGAGGGAUGAAGGUCCUCGGAUCGUAAACCUCUGUCAGGAGGGAAGAACCGCCACGGUGCUAAUCAGCCGUGGUCUGACGGUACCUCCAAAGGAAGCACCGGCUAACUCCGUGCCAGCCGCAGC
rnacentral:rRNA from 1 species